rnacentral:misc_RNA from 1 species
AAGUCGUAACAAGGUUUCCGUAGGUGAACCUGCGGAAGGAUCAUUAACACGUAUCCACGUAUCUACCUCUUGCGAACUUGUUUUUUGUCUGCAGUUGUGUCUUUGUAUAACUGAGGGAGCAGAUGGCCAUGUCGUUCUGUCUUUUGGAUAGAAUGUUCUGCUUGCCUGUCCACCGUUGUUGAGUGCUAGUGUAUCGAGAUUGACCCACUACCCGUGAGGCAAUCCUAUUAGCCAAACUCCACGGAUCGGGUACAAGAUAUAGCUCGAAUCAUGGUGGUAUUCACCAUUAACCCUUUUUCUUUUUAAUUGUCUUAGUGAGUGUCCUGGUGUAGCUUUUUUGCGAGCUAGGCCUCCCCAAAAUUAACACUAUACAACUCUUAGCAACGGAUAUCUCGGUUCU